GAAGAUUUGAUUCAAGUGGCUCUACCAGAGACAAGACAUUGUGUAAUACUUUACUUGGCUCUCCAUGGAACUUGCUCUACUGGAUUCCUGGGAAUGAAAGGGGCGGAGCCUCACCGAGAAGGUAAGUCAGAUAGAAAAACAAACGCUUAAGUUUGUUUAGACUCCAUUUUGUCGGGUUGGAGGAGAAAAAAGAAAACCUGAUUCAGGUGAGAGUUACUUCUUGUUUUUCUGUCAGAGUCUGCAACACAUUUACUUAAUAUUUUGUCUCCAGCAGUGCAACUUAAAUUAAAUCUUCCUGUUCAUGUUUAUCUCAAGCUGACCAGACUGCUCAGAUACAACUGCUAAACCAAUCAGAAUCCAGAUCAGAUUCAAGUGUUUUGAAUUGCAGUUUAGUUCAGAUCUUUAUCAGCUGGAGAUAAGAAACUACACUCAGUAAAACAGACUGACCACAUCUGCUAUCACAAACUGAAUCUGCUGUAAAUCAUUUUCACAUCUUUUUUGAGGAUCAACUCAAACCAGCAGAUUGAUAAAGAGAAAGUAAAAAAAAAUCUACACCUGGAUAGACCUGCUUGUCUUGAUUAUGUGGUUGUGAUCUGGCUGUGGACAGGAGAGCUGUAAGGUUGAACCAUCUGGUCUUUUACAUUAUAACAGCAGCUGGACUAAAGUUCAGUUCAGGACAUGAUUACAGACCUGGGAUGCAGCAGAGACAAGGAGCAGAGACGAGGAGCAGGGACGAGGAGGGACGAGGAGCAGGGACAAGGAGCAGGGACGAGGAGCAGGGACAAGGAGCAGGGACGAGGAGCAGGGACAAGGAGCAGGGACGAGGAGGAGGGACGAGGAGGAGGGACGAGGAGCAGGGACAAGGAGCAGGGACGAGGAGCAGGGACAAGGAGCAGCGAGGAGGAGGGACAAGGAGCAGGGACGAGGAGCGGGGACGAGGAGCGGGGACGAGGAGGAGGGACGAGGAGCAGGGACGAGGAGCGGGGACGAGGAGGAGGGACGAGGAGGAGGGACGAGGAGCGGGGACGAGGAGCGGGGACGAGGAGCAGGGACGUUGCUAGCCAUUCAGGUGCCCUGAGCAUAAAAGCUUUGUGGCCUCAUGUCUGACAGAAUUACCAAUAAUUCAAUAUUUUUCUUUGCAUUUCAAACUAUUUAAAGGUGGAGAAUUAAGGCUAAGUCAACAAAUUACAAGAGGAAUUAAGUAGGAAAACAAGUAAAGCAUAAUGAAUAAAAUGCAACAAUAGAAAUUGUAAUACAGAAUUCAUCUUUAGAAACUGAGACUUCCUGUUUUAUCUGACUUGUAAUCAUAACUUAUAUUGUUUUCCUUUGGAAGAUUCAAGAGGAGUUUAUUAAAAUCUUCAAAGUUUGACAAACUUUUUCACAUUAAGUUAAACAAGUGACCUCACUGUUUCUGAGGUCUGACAAGUUUGACCUAAACAUCUUCCCUUAGCCAGGUUUGCAUUGCAUUGUGGGAUGCAGGUGAACUGAAAGACAAUGGUGGUUUCAUAAAGCCCAACAACUUUCAGGACAUCUUCUCAAAGUAACUGGGAACAUCAUCCGUCCAUUUUCUAACAGCCUUGACCCAAACGGGGUCGGGAGGUGCUGGUGCCCAUCUCCAGCCAACGUUCCGGGCGAGAGGCGGGGUCACAGGUCAUCAGUUUAACCCUAACCCACUUUUCCAAAGAUACCUGAAGUUAAACCCAAAAUGAUUUAAUCCUUUGUUUUCAGCAGUUCAGAACAUCUACUUCCUGUUUACAUUUGGUUCUCAUGUCCAUGAAUGUCUAACCAACAGACAGAAGGAAUGUUCUCGCCUGGUUUGUACCAAGAGGUCCAGAUUGUGUCCUCUGAGUGACAUUAAGUCGAGUUAUAAGUUAAUAAAUUAACUGAUUCUGAUCACAGGAAACAAACUAAUGGUGUGGAAACUGCCUUAAAUUCUGGUUCCACAACUAAACUUCCCUGCAAGAGACUGAAAGCCCAGAAGAUGGAGGUUCAUGUGGAGGAACAAGGCGAUAACUCCAGCAGUUCAGCCAACAGGAACAAACCUGAAUCCUCAGACGUAAAACGUCAGAGCAUCAAAAGGAGAGCAGAGUUUCCUCAAUCUGACUGUGUGUCUAUGAAGAGUAAAAAGUCCAUCAGUGAACCUCCGGAUUUCAGUGAUCAUCCUCAACCCUUGGACACAAUAUCCAGAAGAACUGACCAACUGCAGAGAGACAGUCCAGGCAGCUCUGUGCCAGAUGUCAGAUGAGGUUCUGGAUGAGGUGGACUUGUGGAAGUACAGAACAUCAGAGGAGGGCCGGAGGAGACUGAUUCCAGCUGUGAGGAACUGCCGAAAGGCUCGUAUCUUCUGCUCUACAUGAUGCUUUAGAGGAACAUAAGAGCAGUCUAAGGAUGAGAUGUGAAUGUGUGACUGAAGGAAUUGAUGAAACAGGAAUUAAAACCUCUUUCAAGAGGAUCUACACUGAUCUCUACAUCACAGAGGGACAAAGUGAAGAGGUUAAUACCCAGCAUGAGGUGAAGCAGCUGGAGAGAGCUGCCAAGAUCCAGAACCUCCAUGACUCUCCAAUCAGGUGCCAUGACAUCUUUAAAACCUUCCCUGACCAACAUGGAGCCAUCAGAGUGGUUCUGACCAACGGCGUCGCUGGUGUUGGAAAAACCUUCUCAGUGCAGAAGUUCACUCUGGACUUAUUCAUAUGGUUAAAAUGAUCAUGUUGUGCAACAAAUAUCAUGUUGCAACAAAAAAUGAUCACUUCAGACUUGAUAAUGCUGAUGUCUUGAUGCCACUUAUUUUCUCCAAACUUCCUCCUGUUGACUUCGACUUGCAUGUUUUAUUUUUCUUCAGGUUGUUUUACUGCAGGUUGUCAGAGGUCAGCUGUUCUCGUCUGAUCUCAGCUCUAGAGUCCAAUCCCUCCCAUCUGACAGAACUGGACCUCAGCAGGAACAAAGACCUGGGAGACGCUGGAGUUAAGGAGAUCUGUGGCUUUUUAAAGAAUCCAGUGUGCAAACUACAAACUCUGAGACUGAUGGACUGCAGCUUGUCGGAGAGCAGUUGUUCGUUUUUGGUCUCAGCUCUGAGGUCCAACCCUUCUCAUAUGACAAAGUUGGACCUGAGCUGGAACAAAAACCUGAAAGAUGCUGGCGUGAAGGAGCUCUGUGACUUUGCACAGAUUCCUCUCUGCAGAAUUCAGACUCUAAGAUUGAUAGAGUGCAGUUUGUCUGAGAUCAGCUGUGAUUCUCUGGUCUCGGCUCUGAAGUCCAAUCCAUCCCUUCUGACAAAACUUGACCUGAGCUUCAACAACUUGGAAGAUUCCAACGUCCAGCCGCUCUUAGAGCUCAUGGAGAGUCCAGAUUAUGAACUUCAAACUGUGCAGUAAGUGCAUGGCUUAAGUCAUUCCAGGUUGAUGUUGACAGUAUGAAAUGUGUAUCAGAGGAAAGAUCCGGUGUUUUUCUGUAAACCUGCAGCUUCCCAGCAGGAUGUAAUCCUCAUAAGGAUGAAAAGACAAAAACAAAUUGCAUCCUUGUUUUCAUUUAUCAAAGUGUUGCAACAUCAAGACUGAAGUCAGACAAUUGUUUUCUCACAUUUGAACAAUAAGGGAUGAGUUCUAGCUGAGAGGUUAGUGUGACUGCAGCCUUUUGUUUCAGAAACAAUUACAUUAACUAAAUGGCCAAAUUAGUAAAUACAGUCUGUUCUUCUGCUUCGUCUAAAUGUUUUUUUAGCCACAGCCUCCAUGUUUCUCAGCUGACAGUUUGUAACUUUAAGUAAUCAGAGUUCUUUUUUCAUUGCAGGUGGGAUUGAUGGUUCUGCCAAGGAAAGACCCACUGUGACCCGCUGUGACCCGCAGUGACCCGCUGUGACCCG